GGUAAAAAAAAUGAUAUUUGGAUCAACCAAUCAAAAGCUUUGGGUGUCUAUAUAGACAUAAUAGGUAAGUAAAUAGCAAUUUGAAGUGUGCUUGUAGCCUAAAUCCAAAAAUAUAAAUUAUUAUAACUUUUUCACAUAAAAAUAGAAAUAUUAACAAUAAUAAUUACUAUAUUAAAAUUCAUUGUGUUCUUUUACUUAGAUAAAAUACAAGUUGAAAUAGUGACUAUUAUUAUUUUAUGCUUAAUAUAAAUUGAUGUAAUGAUAACUCAAUGGAAAGUUGAUGGUUACAAAAAUUUAUUUUGGAUCUUUAUCAAUAAAGAUAAAACAUGUUAUUUGUGAAUACAUUCUACCAAAAAAAAAUUUAUUACCUAAGAAAACUAAAUAAGUACUAAAAAGAUUCACA
rnacentral:lncRNA from 1 species